CAGAAACAAGGAAGGAAACAGUGAGAUCUAAUGAAGCUCUGUUCAGUCUGAUCUAAUGAAGCUCUGUUCAGUCUGAUCUAAUGAAGCUCUGUUCAGUCUGAUCUAAUGAAGCUCUGUUCAGUCUGAUCUAAUGAAGCUCUGUUCAGUCUGAUCUAAUGAAGCUCUGUUCAGUCUGAUCUAAUGAAGCUCUGUUCAGUCUGAUCUAAUGAAGCUCUGUUCAGUCUGAUCUAAUGAAGCUCUGUUCAGUCUGAUCUAAUGAAGCUCUGUUCAGUCUGAUCUAAUGAAGCUCUGUUCAGUCUGAUCUAAUGAAGCUCUGUUCAGUCUGAUCUAAUGAAGCUCUGUUCAGUCUGAUCUAAUGAAGCUCUGUUCAGUCUGAUCUAAUGAAGCCCUGUUCAGUCUGAUCUAAUGAAGCCCUGUUCAGUCUGAUCUAAUGAAGCUCUGUUCAGUCUGAUCUAAUGAAGCUCUGUUCAGUCUGAUCUAAUGAAGCUCUGUUCAGUCUGAUCUAAUGAAGCUCUGUUCAGUCUGAAACAGUUUGAUCUAAUGGGCCUGAGUAACAGGCAGUUUACUUUGGACAUGCAUUUCAUCUGGAGGUGAAAAUAGUGCCCCUACCCUAAUGAAGUUAAUGAGACUUUGCAAAGCAAUGUCAGAGACCAGUAGUACUGUGAAGAGUGCAAAGAGAGUAAUGCAGCAAGGUCCCUGAGAGGCUAAGAUGUGGACGGGUGGAUAUGGUCCCGGGCCACAGAGUUUAGCAGGGUUACAGUAGCUGGAGUACUAAGAUGUGGACGGGUGGAUAUGGUCCCGGGCCACAGAGUUCAGCAGGGUUACAGUAGCUGGAGUACUAAGAUGUGGACGGGUGGAUAUGUGUGUGUAGAGGCGGGCUGUGUGUAGAGGUGGGCUGUGUGUAGAGGUGGGCUGUGUGUAUAGAGGUGGGCUGUGUGUGUAGAGGUGGGCUGUGUGUAUAGAGGUGGGAUGUGUGUGUAGAGGUGGGCUGUGUGUAGAGGUGGGCUGUGUGUAGAGGUGGGCUGUGUGUAUAGAGGUGGGCUGUGUGUGUAGAGGUGGGCUGUGUAUAGAGGUGGGCUGUGUGUAUAGAGGUGGGCUGUGUAUAGAGGUGGGCUGUGUGUAGAGGUGGGCUGUGUGUGUAGAGGUGGGCUGUGUGUAUAGAGGUGGGCUGUGUGUGUAGAGGUGGGCUGUGUAUAGAGGUGGGCUGUGUGUAUAGAGGUGGGCUGUGUUUAGAGGUGGGCUGUGUGUAGAGGUGGGCUGUGUGUGUAGAGGUGGGCUGUGUGUAUAGAGGUGGGCUGUGUGUAUAGAGGUGGGCUGUGUGUAUAGAGGUGGGCUGUGUGUGUAGAGGUGGGCUGUGUGUGUAGAGGUGGGCUGUGUGUAUAGAGGUGGGCUGUAUGUGUAGAGGUGGGCUGUGUGUGUAGAGGUGGGCUGUGUGUAUAGAGGUGAGCUGUGUGUAUAGAGGUGGGCUGUGUGUGUAGAGGUGGGCUGUGUGUGUAGAGGUGGGCUGUGUGUAGAGGUGGGCUGUGUAUAGAGGUGGGCUGUGUGUGUAGAGGUGGGCUGUGUGUAGAGGUGGGCUGUGUAUAGAGAUGGGCUGUGUGUAUAGAGGUGGGCUGUGUGUAGAGGUGGGCUGUGUGUAGAGGCGGGCUGUGUGUGUAGAGGUGGGCUGUGUGUGUAGAGGUGGGCUGUGUGUGUAGAGGUGGGCUGUGUGUGUAGAGGUGGGCUGUGUGUGUAGAGGUGGGCUGUGUGUAGAGAUGGGCUGUGUGUGUAGAGGUGGGCUGUGUGUGUAGAGGUGGGCUGUGUGUGUAGAGGUGGGCUGUGUGUGUAGAGGUGGGCUGUGUAUAGAGGUGGGCUGUGUGUGUAGAGGUGGGCUGUGUAUAGAGGUGGGCUGUGUGUGUAGAGGUGGGCUGUGUAUAGAGGUGGGCUGUGUGUAUAGAGGUGGGAUGUGUGUGUAGAGGUGGGCUGUGUGUAUAGAGGUGGGCUGUUUGUAUAGAGGUGGGCUGUGUGUAUAGAGGUGGGCUGUGUGUGUAGAGGUUGGCUGUGUGUGUGAAUAGAGGUGGACUGUGUGCUGUACAGUACCUUGUGUAUCUGGC